UUAGGAGGGAUUUAUUAAACAUGGAUGCAGAAGAAAGUUCGGAACUGUCCGAAUAUGUACAGUCACUGACUCUGCAGGACCGUGACAGCUAUUUUUGUAAAUUAACUCUUGCGGGUGGAAGCAGGCUGCCUGACCCGUAUGCCAUACGGCCACGGGAGUGGCAUGAAGACUUGACGGGGCUGCCGAGGGUGGAGUGGCCGGAUAUCUACACUUACCUCAUCGAGUCACCAAGUGUUUACAGCCGAGAAAAGCUACAGGCAUAUAAAUCCCUGGAUGCCUACAACUAUUAAUGGUCACGUUCAGACAUUACAAUACAACAAUUUACGUACAGAUCUUUGUGUAGUGCGGUCAGAGGUGUUGCCUAGCCAGAGGCAAGGCAAGAAGGGUGACAUGUACCACACCUGGGUGAUCGUAAAUCGGGACAACAGUACAAUUUUAAUGGCGAACUGCACUUGCAUGUCAGUUUUAACCUAACAGUAAAUAGUUGCAACCGCUGUUGCAGCUGCAACCGCUGUUAUAAAUCCUAAUUAAUAUGUUUUGAAGUCAUGAUGAAUGUAUGUAUUACUCUUGAGGGAAAGAUUUCAUUGAAAACUUUAGUUUUGAUCCAAAAGUGCUGUUCCUUCUAUUCUGGCAGCCAAAAACACAAGACGACAUUUUACAGUCAAAACCUCAAACUUUUAGCGUGCCUGCUAUGAGUUCUUCCUUAUAUUUUGCCUCCAGCUAUGCAGUGGCGUCACAGUGACGUAGGCGAUUAAGGGGUCUAUAAGAAUCAACCCAGCUAACAGGGAAGGUUCCCAGAACAUUCACUAACGUUCUUUAAAAGUUGUGUGAAUGUUAGUACAAAACGUUAUUAAAAUAAUGAUUUUGGAACGUUCUUAUAACAUUAACGUUCUUAUAACAUUUAGAGAAAACGUUCUGGGAACAACGUUCUUGGAACAUCCUUAGGACGUUAUUUGUACUUGAUGAACGUUCGCAUAAUGUUGAUAGGAAACGUUAUUAGAACAACAUUCUCAGAACGUCCUUAUAACGUUAUUAGUAUUUUCUGAAUGUUAUCGUAAUGUUAUCAUAAAACGUUUUGGGAACAAUGUUCUUGGAACAUGCUUAGGACGUUAUUUGUAGGCUACUUGAUGAACGUUCGCAUAAUGUUGAUAGGAAACGUUAUUAGAACAACAUUCUCAGAACGUCCUUAUAACGUUAUUAGUAUUUUCUGAACGUUAUCAUAAAACGUUUUGGGAACAACGUUCUUGGAACAUCCUUAGGACGUUAUUUGUACUUGAUUCGCAUAAUGUUGAUAGAAAACGUUAUUAGAACAACAUUCUCAGAACGUCCUUAUAACGUUAUUAGUAUUUUCUGAAUGUUAUCAUAAUGUUAUCAUAAAACGUUUUGGGAACAAUGUUCUUGGAACAUCCUUAGGACGUUAUUUAUACUUGAUGAACGUCCUCAUAAUGUUGAUAGAAAACGUUCUUAGAACAACAUCAGAACGUCCAUAUAAUGUUAUAAGUAUUUAUGUUCCCAUAAUAUAUCACGCACGGACAUUUCAGGACUCGCAUUUUGAGCUGAAUCAGACUCUCAAUUCCUGACGCCACUGAAUCGAAUCUUUUUGGAAUCGUUUACUGUCUUGAUUCUCGAGUCUGUUCUUUCCCCUCCCCCACUGCCUCACUGCAGCUCUUCUCUUGCGCGCGCAGCAGCAGAGAGCGUCCGUUAUUUUCUGAGGCUGAGAAAACGUAAAUGCCUGACGUUGCGAGCCGUUCGUUUCCGCUCCUGCUCCAUUCAAAUCUUGCGCGCGCUGACAGGGUCCGGUAUUUUCAUCAUAGAGAGAUUUACACAUAGGAUUUACAUCAUAAGAAGCAUUUUCUAGGCCGCUGCCUUUCAGUUAUUGCGCGCGCUGACAGCGACCUAUAUUUUCAGAGAUGCUUCAAAUAACUUACAGCACUGAAGGAAAAGCUGCACCUGACUUGAUUCUUGCGAGGCAGACAAGGACAGAAAAGGCCAAGUGGUAAAUGCUGCUAUUCUUCUCUAAUACUGUUGCUCUUCAAAGAACACGGUCAUCAAUCAGGAUCCUCCAUUCCCAGCUCCAACCAGUCAUCUGAAGGACUGCAGCGAUGGGAACCCUUUGAACCACAAGUGGCAGUUUCCACCGGAUGACAAAGGACAUGGUAGAGGAUGAUAGACCCCUAUUGAUAUCUCACUGAUGUUCGCCUGCUGUACUGACUGUAUCACACACACACACAUACAGUUUUGUGCUCAAAAGUUUAUAUCACAUUGCAGAAUCUGUUAGUUCACCCAAAAAUGUAAUUUCUGUCAUUAAUUACUUAUCCUCAUGUCGUU